UGGGUACCUAAACAAAGAAGUCCCGGCAAACUCCGUGCCAGCAGCCGCGGUAAUACGGAGGGGGCAAGCGUUGUUCGGAAUUAUUGGGCGUAAAGGGCAUGUAGGCGGUUUGGUAAGUUAAAGGUGAAAUACCAGGGCUUAACCCUGGGGCUGCUUUUAAUACUGCAGGACUAGAGUCCGGAAGAGGAUAGCGGAAUUCCUAGUGUAGAGGUGAAAUUCGUAGAUAUUAGGAGGAACACCAGUGGCGUAAGGCUGGCUGUCUGGUCCGGUACUGACGUGUGACGGUGCGAGAAGCGGGGAGCAACACAGUAGAGCUCGCAAGC
rnacentral:rRNA from 1 species